rnacentral:rRNA from 1 species
GCAGUGGGGAAUAUUGCGCAAUGGGGGCAACCCUGACGCAGCGAUGCCGCGUGAGUGAAGAAGGCCUUCGGGUUGUAAAGCUCUUUCGGUGGGAACGAUUGUGACGGUACCCACAGAAGAAGCUCCGGCUAACUCCGUGCCAGCAGCCGCGGUAAUACGGAGGGGGCGAGCGUUGUUCGGAAUUACUGGGCGUAAAGGGCGCGUAGGCGGUUUGGCAAGUCAGGAGUGAAAUCCCAGGGCUUAACCUUGGAAUGUCUCUUGAAACUGCCUUACUGGAGUCCGGCAGAGGAUGGUGGAAUUCCCCGUGUAGAGGUGAAAUUCGUAGAUAUGGGGAGGAAGACCAGAGGCGAAGGCGGCCAUCUGGACCGGUACUGACGCUGAGGCGCGAAAGCGUGGGGAGCGAACAGGAUUAGAUACCCUGGUAGUCCACGCCGUAAACGAUGAGUGCUGGUUGUCGCGGGUAUCGACCCCUGCGGCAACGAAGUUAACGCGUUAAGCACUCCGCCUGGGGAGUACGGCCGCAAGGCUAAAACUCAAAUGAAUUUGACGGGGGGUUAAACU